rnacentral:rRNA from 1 species
AUCAUGGCUCAGAGUGAACGCUGGCGGCAGGCCUAAUACAUGCAAGUCGAACGGCAGCACAGUGGAGCUUGCUCCAUGGGUGGCGAGUGGCGGACGGGUGAGGAAUACAUGGGAAUCUGCCCAGUCGUGGGGGAUAACGUAUGGAAACGUACGCUAAUACCGCAUGCGCCCUUCGGGGGAAAGUCGGGGACCGCAAGGCCUGACGCGAUUGGAUGAGCCCAUGUUCGAUUAGCUAGUUGGCGGGGUAACGGCCCACCAAGGCGACGAUCAAUAGCUGGUCUGAGAGGAUGAUCAGCCACACUGGAACUGAGACACGGUCCAGACUCCUACGGGAGGCAGCAGUAGGGAAUAUUGGACAAUGGGCGCAAGCCUGAUCCAGCCAUGCCGCGUGAGUGAAGAAGGCCCUCGGGUUGUAAAGCUCUUUUGUUGGGGAAGAAAAGCAGUUGGUUAAUACCCGAUUGUUCUGACGGUACCCAAAGAAUAAGCACCGGCUAACUUCGUG